rnacentral:rRNA from 1 species
CCUACGGGUGGCAGCAGUGGGGAAUAUUGCACAAUGGGGGAAACCCUGAUGCAGCGACGCCGCGGGAGUGAAGAAGUAUUUCGGUAUGUAAAGCUCUAUCAGCAGGGAAGAAAAAAGACGGUAACUGACUAAGAAGCCCCGGCUAACUACGUGGCAGCAGCCACGGUAAUACGGAGGGGAGAAGCGUUAUCCGGAUUUAAUGGGGGUAAAGGGAGCGUAGACGGGGCGGCAAGUCUGAAGUGAAAGGCAGGGGCUUAACCCCUGAACUGCUUUUGAAACUGCCAUGCUAGAGUGCUGGAGAGGUAAGUGGAAUUCCUAGUGUAGCGGUGAAAUGCGUAGAUAUUAGGAGGAACACCAGUGGCGAAGGCGGCUUACUGGACAGUAACUGACGUUGAGGCUCGAAAGCGUGGGGAGCAAACAGGAUUAGAUACCCCAGUAGUC